GGAUGUGAGGGCGAUCUGGCUGCGACAUCUGUCACCCCAUUGAUUGCCAGGGUUGAUUCGGCUGAUCUGGCUGGCUAGGCAGGUGUCCCCUUCCUCCCUCACUGCUCCAUGUGCGUCCCUCCCAAAGCUCAGUGGAAGAGGACGACGUCCCAGGUAUAGAAAGAGAGUACCAAGAUCUCCAGUCUUCAGUCCCGGGUAUACGAUAGCUACGCUCCCCUGCUAGAACCUCCAGACAAGCUCAAGGUCCAUUUGUAGGACUGUUGAGCUCUUUGACUAUUUUAAUAUACAGUGAGAAAUACUAGUUCAUGUUUCUCUUUU
rnacentral:snRNA from 1 species